GACGAACGCUGGCGGCGUGCUUAACACAUGCAAGUCGAACGGAAAGGCCCCUUUCGGGGGGUACUCGCGUGGCGAACGGGUGUGUAACACGUGAGUAACCUGCCCUUGACUUUGGGAUAAAUUCAGGAAACUCUGGCUAAUACCGCAUAGAAGCGCCCGCUGCAUGGUGGGGGUUGGGAAGUUUCGGCGGGUUGGGAUGGACUCGCGGCCUAUUACCUUGUUGGUGGGGUAGUGGCUUACCAAGGGUUUGGCGGGUAGCCGGGCUGGGAGGGGGACCGGCCACAUUGGGACUGGGAUACGGCCCAGACUUCUACGGGGGGCAGCAAUUGGGAAUAUUUGACAAUUGGGGGGAGCCUGAUGCAGCAACGCCGUGUGCGGGAUGACGGGCCUCCGGUUGGUAACCGCUUUCGCUCAUGGAGGAAGUUUGUGUGACGGUAGUGGGUAAAGAAGCACCGGCUAACUACGUG
rnacentral:rRNA from 1 species